rnacentral:rRNA from 1 species
GAUGAACGCUGGCGGCGUGCCUAAUACAUGCAAGUCGAGCGAACAGACGAGGAGCUUGCCCCUUUGACGUUAGCGGCGGACGGGUGAGUAACACGUGGAUAACCUACCUAUAAGACUGGGAUAACUUCGGGAAACCGGAGCUAAUACCGGAUAACAUGUUGAACCGCAUGGUUCAACAGUGAAAGACGGUCUUGCUGUCACUUAUAGAUGGAUCCGCGCCGCAUUAGCUAGUUGGUAAGGUAACGGCUUACCAAGGCAACGAUGCGUAGCCGACCUGAGAGGGUGAUCGGCCACACUGGAACUGAGACACGGUCCAGACUCCUACGGGAGGCAGCAGUAGGGAAUCUUCCGCAAUGGGCGAAAGCCUGACGGAGCAACGCCGCGUGAGUGAAGAAGGUCUUCGGAUCGUAAAACUCUGUUAUUAGGGAAGAACAAAUGUGUAAGUAACUAUGCACGUCUUGACGGUACCUAAUCAGAAAGCCACGGCUAACUACGUG